rnacentral:misc_RNA from 1 species
GCUUCAAGAUGCUGGUACUUACUAUUCUCAUAAGGCAUCAAAAUGGAUUUUGGACGAUUCUUUUUCAGACUACAUGUUGAAGGUGGAGGAAUGCUUGAAGAAGGAGAGGGCAAGCAGUGAGCUAAAGUUAGUGGAGAAAGUGCAACAUGAGUUGUUGGUGGUCUAUGCAAACCAAUUGCUUGAAAAGGAGCAUUCUGGAUGCCGUGCAUUGCUUCGAGAUGAUAAGGUGGAGGAUCUUUCAAGGAUGUAUAG